GAUACUAGGAAGGAAGAAAAGGGAGAAGUCACAGAUAUCACUGAGGUCUGAAGCUUGGAUGAGAAAAUUAUGGCUCAGAGAGACACAACUUGUCCAAGGUUACAAAGCCAGUUGACAGAUUGGCUGGGACUCGGUUUUUGUCAUCACAGUCAGUGCUCUUUAAGAUUCAUCCAGAUAUUUUCAUUCAAGAAAUCCAGAACACUGUGAUGUACCUGGGCUGUGGUAGCCCUCCUGCUUCUGUGGUCUGUACGAUCCUGGCUGAGAUGUCAUCCCAGAACGUGUGAG